rnacentral:piRNA from 1 species
UGACCAGGUCAAUACCGAACAUAUGCUC